AUUGAACGCUGGCGGCAGGCUUAACACAUGCAAGUCGAGCGGGGACUUCGGUCCUAGCGGCGAACGGGUGAGGAAUGCUUGGGAAUCUGCCCAGUAGCGGGGGAUACGUUUUGAAAGGAACGCUAAUACCGGAUAAGCCCUAAGGGGGAAAGGGGGGGAUCUUCGGACCUCUCACUAUUGGAUGAGCCCAAGUCGGAUUAGAUAGUUGGUGAGGUAAAGGCCCACCAAGGUGACGAUCCGUAGCUGGUCUGAGAGGAUGAUAAGCCACACUGGAACUGAAACACGGUCCAGACUCCUACGGGAGGCAUCAGUGGGGAAGAUUGGACAAUGGGCGAAAGCCUGAUCCAGCCAUGCCGCGUGUGUGAAGAAGGCCUUCGGGUUGUAAAGCACUUUAAGCGAGGAGGAAUGGCUGAGGGUUAAUAACCUUCAGCAGUGACGUUACUCGCAGAAUAAGCACCGGCUAACUCUGUGCCAGCCGCCGCAGUAAGAC
rnacentral:rRNA from 1 species